rnacentral:rRNA from 1 species
AGAGUUUGAUCCUGGCUCAGGACGAACGCUGGCGGCGUGCCUAAUACAUGCAAGUCGAGCGAGCAGAACCAGCAGGUUUACUUCGGUAAUGACGCUGGGGACGCGAGCGGCGGAUGGGUGAGUAACACGUGGGGAACCUGCCCCAUAGUCUGGGAUACCACUUGGAAACGGGUGCUAAUACCGGAUAAGAAAGCAGAUCGCAUGAUCAGCUUAUAAAAGGCGGCGUAAGCUGUCGCUAUGGGAUGGCCCCGCGGUGCAUUAGCUAGUUGGUAAGGUAACGGCUUACCAAGGCGAUGAUGCAUAGCCGAGUUGAGAGACUGAUCGGCCACAUUGGGACUGAGACACGGCCCAAACUCCUACGGGAGGCAGCAGUAGGGAAUCUUCCACAAUGGACGCAAGUCUGAUGGAGCAACGCCGCGUGAGUGAAGAAGGUUUUCGGACCGUAAAGCUCUGUUGUUGGUGGAGAAGGAUAGAGGUAGUAACUAGCCUUUAUUUGACGGUAAUCAACCAGAAAGUCACGGCUAACUAUGUGCCAGCAGCCGCGGUAAGAGCUUCGUU